rnacentral:rRNA from 1 species
CCUACGGGUGGCAGCAGUGAGGAAUAUUGGUCAAUGGGCGCGAGCCUGAACCAGCAAAGUAGCGUGAAGGAUGACUGCCCUACGGGUUGUAAACUUCUUUUAUAAAGGAAUAAAGUGAGGCACGUGUGCCUUUUUUUAUGUAUUUUAUGAAUAAGGAUAGGCUAACCUCGUGCCAGCAGCCGCGGUAAUACGGAGGAUCCGAGCGUUAUCCGGAUUUAUUGGGUUUAAAGGGAGCGUAGAUGGGUUGUUAUGUCAGUUGUGAAAGGUUGCGGCUCAACCGUAAAAGUGCAAGUGAUACUGGCAGUCUUGAGGACAGAUGAGGUAGGCGGAAUUCGUGGUGUAGCGGUGAAAUGCUUAGAUAACGCGAAGAACCCCGAGUGCGAAGGGAGCUUACGAAACUGCCACUGACAUUGAUGCUCGAAAGUGUGGGUAUCAAACAGGAUUAGAUACCCCAGUAUC